UUUAAAUAUUUAUAUUAGAUUCAGUCCCCUUUAACAACAUGAUAUAUAUGUUUAGUGCAGAAUGUGCGGAUUUAGGAAGUCUAUAGACGCUAGAGUAUAACAAAAAUCGACCUUUACCAUUAAAAAUUUGUAGCUUUUUAUGUGAUUUUUAUUGCCUUAGAAAAAUGGCUGCCAAACAUUUUGAAAAGUUUUAAAGCAUUAGUAUUUUUACAUUUAUAAAAUGCCCUUUUCAUGAUAUGAAAAGAAGUCAUACUUUUCAUCAAGGUCCAUGGUGUAGAGACUUCAAACAUAAAUAGAUAAGAGGGAUUUUCCCAAAUUUCCCAAAAUUUCCCAAAAAUUUCUCAAUUUUCCCCAUUUCAUAAGAAAAAAUCAUAAAUUUUUCUCAAAAUAAGUAGCUAUGCCACACGAAAGCUGUUUUUCCUGACACAGAUAAACAAAAUUAAAUCCCAUCUGAUGAUGCUGGCGAUAAAUGAAACGAUCAUUGAGAAAACUGAUGCCAAAAUUGAAAUUGAAUGUAUUUUAUCUUGUGUGAAAGCACCUUGCUGUCGGUCUAUCAACUAUAGGAUUGGGUUUGGCCAAAGAUGCAUAAAGUAAAUUUUAGAAAAAGAGAGAAAGUAACAAAAAUCCAAACGCAGGGUCCUGAGAAGAACAACCGUAAUCAAUAUGUGAGGACAUAUGCUUUGUCAUAUUCCGAUGACGGAGACAUUAUUAAACAUUACAAAAACGAAGGAGGAGGAAGGGAUCUUGAUGGUAAAACCAAAUUGUAAAGAAGAAACUUUGCCCAGUCAUCAUUUAUCAGUACAUUCGUAUUCAUCCAAUGUUGUGGAACAGACAUAUAUCGACGAGACUGGAAUGUUUUUGAUGCUUGCAUAAUUAAAACAGAUCUAAAUAAAGUACGUAGAAUCAUACUAAUAUUCUAUAGCAAUUGAUUUAAAAUGGCCACUUUACUCAUAUGUACUUAGAAUUAGAUAGGGAGAAGUGAUACAACAUAUAGCUAUUAGCGACAAAAUAGAUAGUAAGUUGAAAAUAAAUGGCUUUCAAUCUUGU